UGAAUACGAGACGCUAAGGCGUCGAAGUAGUGUAUGUCAUACUUCCAAGAAAAGCUUGCACUGUCAUAGAUAAAAACGCCUGUACCAUAACCGACACAGGUGGGUAGGUAGAGUAUACUAAGGGGCGCGAGAUAACUCUCUCUAAGGAACUCGGCAAAAUAACUCCGUAACUUCGGGAGAAGGAGUGCCUUAUUCGUAAGGUUGCAAUAACAAGAUCCAAGCAACUGUUUAUCAAAAACACAGGUCUCCGCUAAGUCGUAAGACGAUGUAUGGGGGCUGACGCCUGCCCAGUGCCAGAAGGUUAAAGAAGUUGGUUAGCAAUUGCGAAGCUGAUAACUGAAGCCCUGGUGAACGGCGGCCGUAACGAUAACGGUCCUAAGGUAGCGAAAUUCCUUGUCGGGUAAGUUCCGACCCGCACGAAAGGCGUAAUGAUUUGGAUACUGUCUCGGAGAGGGGCUCGGUGAAAUAGACUUGUCUGUGAAGAUGCGGACUACCUGCACCAGGACAGAAAGACCCUAUGAAGCUUUACUGUAACUUGAAAUUGAAAUUGGACUUUAUUCGCGCAGUAUAGGUGGGAGGCGUUGAUUAUAAUCUCGUGGGAUUAUUGGAGCCAUCAGUGAGAUACCACUCUUGUAAUGUUAGAUUUCUAACUUUGAAUCAUUAUCUGGUCAAAGAACAGUUUCAGGCGGGCAGUUUGACUGGGGCGGUCGCCUCCUAAACGGUAACGGAGGCGUACAAAGGUUUCCUCUGAACGGUUAGAAAUCGUAUCUAGAGUGUAAAGGCAUAAGGAAGCUUGACUGUGAGACCUACAAGUCGAGCAGGGACGAAAGUCGGUCUUAGUGAUCUGACGGUACUGAGUGGAAAGGCCGUCACUCAACGGAUAAAAGUUACUCUAAGGAUAACAGGCUGAUCUCCCCCAAGAGUUCACAUCGACGGGGAGGUUUGGCACCUCGAUGUCGGCUCAUCGCAUCCUGGGGCGGUAGUACGUCCCAAGGGUUGGGCUGUUCGCCCAUGAAAGCGGUACGCGAGCUGGGUUCAGAACGUCGUGAGACAGUUCGGUCCAUAUCCAGUGUAGGCGUUAGAAUAUUGAGAGGAGCCUUCUUUAGUACGAGAGGACCGAGAAGGACAUACCUCUGGUGUACCAGUUAUCGUGCCAACGGUAAACGCUGGGUAGCUAUGUAUGGAGUGGAUAACCGCUGAAAGCAUCUAAGUGGGAAGCCCACCUCAAGAUAAGUAUUCUCAU
rnacentral:rRNA from 1 species